AUGUGCAACAGAAUAACUGAGGUGAAGAUUUUUGAUAAAUACUACAAUACAUUUUGCUUUGAUUCUCAGCAUACUCAAAUAUUCAGGCCAAGUUGCAUUAUAUUAUUUUGUGACAGUUAUGCAUCCUUUUUUAGAUCUAUAAGGUGGUUACCGUUCCCUGCCGAUAUAUGGACAAGCACAAGCAUCACAAUCUGAAGAACAUAUUAUGGACAUUAAAAGGAUCUCAAGAUCAUCAAGAAGAACUCAUGAACUGUUCAUAAAAAUCUGGUAAGUUUAUCUUUGGCAUGCCCACGUACAACUGGACACAUGCAAACAUACCUUGCUCAAGGUCAACAGCCCUGAGUCAGCAAAAUUAGUCAGACAUUAAAAGAUGAGUAAAACUCGUUUAAAUAAUCCGCACUUCAUCUGGAUUAAUCCAACAUAGCAAUAUACCCUUGCCAGCACUCUCAUUAUAACACUGCUGGGAGCCAGAGAAUUUGCACAUUUGUGUAUAUGUAUAUGUGUG
ensembl:lncRNA